CCAGGCAGCUAAGUGGGACCUUGGGCUGUUUACUAAGGGGGCAAGUGUGUGACUGUGAGCAGGCGAGGGGUCUUGCGGAGGCCGGCAGGGCCCGGCUCAGAUCCCUUCAGUGGUCUAGCGACGGUCCCUCAUGGGGGACAAGAAUCGCCAUAUCAGGCUUUGCUUCUUCGGGAAUUCAACCUGAAACAGCUGGUACCAGGAGUGAGUGGGUGCAGGGAACUGACCCUAAGGAAGGCUCUCUGAGAUGAUCACCAGCCAGCUCGGAUGACCAUGAGGGACUGUCGCUAGUGGCCUAUGGAGAACUGAUGGCCCCUGGCAGGGGUUGCAGUGUGACAGUGAAAACCAUCCCCUGGGCGCUCUGGGCUGAGAGGUGGAAGGGGAGGCAGAGGCUGGUACAAUGUCUCAGGCACCUGAGAGGUUAGGAGGAGACAGUAACUAUUAGAACUGUGGCUUUUGCAAAACAUUGAUUCCUUGAGGAGAGAACAUAACAGGGUAAUAGUAGAAAACAAAGUGUGUCAGAGGCCACCUGGCACAUGUCAAGACACCCUGAAGCAGGAGGGCAGACAGAAAUGAAGAUGAAGCCCCAAAAGAUUGGAUCUCAACCUAGAUGAGCCUCCUGGGUCAAAACAAGGGCCCUGAUGGUGAAGGAAUGGGAUGCGGACACAUGCAGUGGGGAUGACUGGGUGGAGGCACGUGAGCACUUUGAGCCCCAGACUGCCCCGAAUCCUCUGGGCCUGCAGAAGCGGCCACUCCCCCCGUGGCGGACAAUGGCGGCCCUACCUCCCACAGGAACUCUGCAAGGACCCCCAAAGGGGCAGGCGCCUUGGCAGUGUUUGCCUCUGGGCCUGCACCCGCCUCCCCUGCCCACCAAGGAUCAUGUCUGAGCCUAGACCAGCUGAAGUGCUGGGCCUGCCGGAGGGCAGGGAUGUCAUGCAGGACGCUGCAGGGCCAGCGUGUGCUGCGGGCAGGAGCCGGGAAAAGGCACCUGAUGGAUGGGUCCUGAGGGCGCCAGAUCAAGACAGUGGACUGCAGAGAUGGAUAAAGAGAGCUGGUCGAUAUAGGGGUGUCCUCCUGUGACACAUGAGACUAUAGUAGGAGCACCAGGAGGUCAUUCUAAUAAGUCCAGGGUGGCCCUUGGAAAAAAGCCAUGGCCUACAGCAAACAAAACAGAUGCCAGACAGCAAAACAGGAAAAUGUGAAAGAGAUCAGAAGUCAGAGAAUGGGGCAUGUUAAGUUGGGUUUAUGAUUAGAAAAGCCACAGGCAGCCCGAGACCUCCAGGAAAGUCUAGAGGGAGCUAAGAAGUGCACUGGUGUGAAGCCCAGGAGUGGCUGUGUUCUGCAGGUGAGGUGGGAGGUGCCACCAAGAACUGGGUCCCUAGUCAGAAAGGGGGUGACAUGAUCCUAAAGAAGCAGGUGCCGGGUGGCAGCAUUUAACUGUCCGGAGCGAAGUGGAAGUGAUUACAAGAAGGAAUAACAGGCAAGGAGGCUGGAACCACAGAUCUAUGGGGACAGCUUAAAGAAUUUCUAGCAAAUUAGACAAGCCUCAAAAGGUAUUUAAAAUAAGCGAGCAGAGCUCUGCAUCUGAUAAUGGUGGAGGCACUUCUUGUGGAUCAAUCCUGUAAACAACAACGACAAACUCUGAACAGUGUAACUCUGCCCAAGUCUCUGGUUAAUGCCUGGAUCGUGCAUGUACAGAGUGGAUUCUAAGUAGCCCAGCUGAGGUUAAAAUAACAGAACAGAGAUUUCAGCUGCCUUAUACUACUGGAGGCAGAUUUUGCAGUUCGCGUUCAGCCAAACUAAUGGUCUGCUGAAACAAGAAAUCAGUACUCUCCAGAGGAACAAAACAGAAACUGUCCUCUCUCCCAGACCAUACGCAUGUCCAGGAUACAACUCAAAAUUACUAGACAUACAAAUAAACAGGAAAGAAGACCCGUGUGUAAGAAGAAAGGCAAUCAGUGAAGACCAGCCCCAGGAUGAUUCAGAUGUUGGAAUUAGCAAACAGCAUUUUUUAAAAAGAUUUUACCAAGGCACAAUUUACUAUAAACUACAUACAUUUGAAGUGUAUAGUUUGCUGAGUUUUGUCAUAUGUAUUCAGUCAUGACACCAUCAUCACAGACUAAUGAACAUGUCGAUCACUCCCAAAAGCUCCUACUUUUAGACUUUUAAGAUACAUACAGUAUGUAUUCUUUUUUUGGUGGUGGUGGUAGUGGUGGUCAGUCUGGUAUCUUUCAAUCAGAAUAAUGACCAUGAGAGAUGUGUGUAUGUUGUGCUUAUAUCAAUAGGUUUAUUUUCUGAGUAGUAUUUAAUUGUAUUUCAUUCAAUUCAUUUAUCAGUUCAACUGUUCAUGGAUGUUUAGGUUGUUUCUUGUUUGAGGUUAUUACAAGUAAAUCUGCUAUAUCAACAAUCAAAUACAAGAUUUUUGUAUUUUCACUUCCCUUGAGUAAGUUCCUAGGAGUGAAAUGGCUGGAACAUAGAGGCAUGUUUAACUUCAUAGGAAACUGCUUUACAGUUUUCCAGAACAUUUGUUCUUUUUCACAGUCCCACCAUAACUAUUAUGUUAUCUGCAGACAGGGACAGUGCUAUCUUUUCCUUUUGGAUCUUUAUACCUUUUAAGUAUUUUUCUUCCUUGAUUGCACUGGCUAGGAUGUCCAAGACAGUGCUGAGUAGGAGGGCUGAGUGUGCACAUCUUGCCUUAGUACUGAUCGUAGGGAGAAAAUGUCCAAUAUUUUACCAUAAAGUAUGAUAUUAACUGUAGGUUAACUCUAGGUUAUUAGAGUUGUUCAUAGUAGUUCCUUAAUAUCCUUUUAAUGUCUAUAGAAUCUGCAGUGUAUCCUUUCUUUCAUUCCUGAUAGUGGUAAUUUGUAUUCACUGUUUCUUAUUGAGUUUGGCUUAUCAAUUUUAUUGAUCUUUUGAAAAACAUGUAUUGGCUUUAUUUUUCUCUGUUGCUUACCUGCUUUAUAUAUUAGUGGCUACUGUUCUUAUCUUUUUACUUCCUUCUUUCGACUUCUACUUUUUUAAUUUGCUUUACUUGCAUCUUAACACAGAACCUUAUGUCAUUGAUUUUAUAUAUUCUUUUCUAACAGGAAUAUUUAAAGCUAUAAAUUCCUCCACUAAAUACUACCUGUUACAUAUUGCAAUUUUUGAUGUACAUUUUUAUCACUAAAUUUGAAAUAUUUUCUUCUUUCUUUUUUGCUUUAUUUUUUGACACAUAAAUUUGUUAUAAGUAUGCUGUUUAGUGUUCAAAUAUCUUGGAGUUUUCUACUAUUUUGGUUUUUAUCCAUUUCCAAUUUAAUUCCAUUUCUGGGCAGAGACUAUACUCUGUAAGGUUUCAAUCUUUUGAAAUUUAUUGAGACUUGUUUUAUGGACCAGCAUAUGAUCUGUCUUGAAGACUGUACCACGUGCACUUGGAAAGAAUGCAGUCCUUCCACUGUUGAGUGGAGCGCUCUGUCAGUGGCCAUCAGUGGCCGAGGUGGUUCCUGUAGUGACCCUGCUGAUUUAUUCUAGUUGCUCUAUUAAUUAAUGUAAAAGGGGUGUUAGAAUUCCAACUAUGUCAAUUUGUCUGUUUACCCCCAUUAAUUCCACCACUUACAGCUUUGUGUUUAGUGAAACUCAGUUAUUAGGCAUAUAUACCUUUAGGAUUGUAUUUCUUCCCUUUUAUCAAAAAAAACGUCCAUUUUUAUGUCUCAUAACAGUCUUUGUCUUAAAGUGUACUUUUUCUGUUAGGAAUAUAGUUGCACUAGCUUUCUUAAGCUUACUGUUUUUGUAUGGUAUGUGUUUUUCCAUGAUUUUACUUUUAGUGCAUUAGUGUCUAUAUUGGAAGUGCAUCUCCAUAGGCAGCACGUAGUUAGGUCUUAGUUGCUUUAAAAAAAAAAAAUCUGAAUAUGACAAUGUAUGCCUUUUAGCUGGAGUGUUUGCUCCACUGAAAUUUAAUGUAAUUAUCAAUGUUGCUGCACUUAAGUCUACUGUUUUACUAUUUAUUGUUAUCUGCUUUUGUUUCUCCAUUCCUCCUCUUCUGCCUUUUCUUAACCGAUUUAACAUACUUUAGAAGUCUAUUUUAUUAUCACACUUAAUGCUUAAAGAUUGAGCUGUUUCCCUCUAAGAUUGGGAACAAGGCAAAGAUGUUUGAUUUUACAAUUUUUAUUCAUAUCAUAUUGGAGGUCUAGACAAUUCAAUAAGUAAGAGAAAGAAAUAAAAGUCAUAAAGAUCAUAAAAGAAUUGAACUAGACAGGUGAUAUUUUCAGAUGAUAUUGUUUAUACAGAAAUCUCUAUAAAAACAAAUCAUAGAAGUUUAUAAGUUAAUAUAUGAAAUCAAGGUUGAAACAUGUCCUCUCCCAAAAAGAUAUGUUGAUGUCCUAAUCCUCAGUACCACAAAAUGUGGUGUUAUUUGGAAAUAGGAUUAUUGCAGGUAUAAUUUGUGAGCCUUACUGGAGUAGGGUGGGCCCCUAAUCAAACAUGACUAGUGUCCAUAUAAGAAUAUAUCAUUCUUCAUACAGACACACAGGGAGAAUGCCGUGUGACAGCAAAAGCAGAAAUUGGAGUAAUGCGGCUGCAUGCCAAGACUGCCAAAUAUUUCUGGCAAACCCCCAGAAGCUAGGAAGAGGUAAGGAAAGAGUUCCCUCCAGGCUUCAGAGAGAGCACGGCCUUGUCAAUACCUUGAUUUCAGACUUCUAGCCCCCAGAGGUGGGAGACACUAAAUUUCUAUUUUAUAUACCACCCAGUUUGUGGUACUUCACUAGCAGCCCUUGCAUACUAACACAUUCAUAAUAUGAGGUUAAUAUUGCAAACAAUUGUAUUUUUAUAUAAUAAUAACAAUCAGAAUAUUAAAUUUAAAAUGUUUACCAUAGCAUCAAAGCAUAUGAACUACUUAGGAAUAAAUGUAAUAAAAGACCUCUAAGACAUUUACCUAAAUGAAACCUAAAAUAUUGCUGAGUAAUUUAAAAAGGCAUAAGUGAAUGGAGAGUAAAAUACAAGUUCAUGGAUUUGUCAAUAUUUUUAAGACAUCAAUUCUCCCAAAAUUGAUUUCUAGAUUCAGUCCAAUCCUAAACACUAUUCCAAGCAGGCUUUUCUUGAAGAAAUAAGUCUAAAUACUUAAAAGGAAUACAAAGAACCAGGAAUAUCCAAAGCAAUCUUGAAAAGGAAUAACAAAGUUGAAGAACUUAAGCUUUUUUACUUAAAAACUUUCUCUGAAGCUACAGUGAUCAACAGUGUGCUACUGGCAUAGGAAGGAUCAGUACAUAACCAAUGGAACCGAAUAGAAAGCCUAGAAAGACCCACACUUACAUAGCCAUUUACUCAUCAAAAAAGGUGUUAAUGAAAUGUAACAGGGAAGGGGAAAUUAUUUCAAUAAAUUAUGAUGUAACAACUAGAUCUAUAUGGAAGAAAAUUUAACUUCAACUCCUGCCUCAGAUGAUGCACAAGACUUAGGAGCUAUCAUAGAUAUUAAAAUAGAAAAUUAUAGCAUUGUUAGAAGAAAACAGGAUAUCUUCACAACAAAGGAAUAUUAGUGAGAAAAAGAAAAAUCUCUGAUACACACAUGUAGUGUAAACCCUGACUGUCUUUUUCUAAGGCAAGUGCCUGACUGAAUCAUUGAUUGCUGAGGUUUCCACUUCAAACACAGCCUCUUCUUAAACACAAUGCCAGCCACCCCACUAUAAAAAAGAGCCCAGUCACCUACCCCCAACUGAGGCUCCUUGGUUUUAGAGGUCUCGGUUGAUUUUGACAACUGACCACCUGGGCCACUUGUCUUUUCUCUCCCUGUGCUUUAAAUUCCCGCUCUAUGUUUUAAAUUCACCAAUAAAGAGAGAGCCUGUGAAAUCCGAGGCCCCAUCCUCAGCCUCAAUAAAAACAGGACACCUGGCCGUGUGCUCACCUGCUCUCUCCACCGACUCGCCGUGUGGGCCCAGGCAUGCUGUGUAAUUUCCAGGCCCUCUAAGUAAUAAACCUCUACUUUUCAGUUUCCUGAUGGUAUUGCUGAAGGGCGACUGGCUAUCAUAAUAACAACCACAGGGUCCAACCACAAUAUUGGUUAUUGGUAGGCUGAGACCAGCACAAAACUACACAAGAGCAUGGAUGACUCUUAAAAAUGUUACGCUGAACAGAAGCCUUAUGCAGAAGAAUGUACCACACGCUGCCAGGGCGGGCACAACCACUCUGUGCGGAAACCAGGGCAGUGCGUUCCUCUUGAGGGCGAGACGGGGGCGGUGCCACUCUGAUGAGGGGCAUGAGGAGACUUUCUGCAGUGACAGACAUUCUGUACCUGAUAGGGGUCUGGAUUCCAUGGGUGCAUUCAUUUGUCAAAACUCACAAAAUGGUACACCAAGGUUUGUAUAAUGCUCUUUAUGUAAAUUUUACAUUAAAAAUUGGAAACAAA